GUCUCCUUCUCCAGCCUCCCUCCCCAAGUUUGCUAAGGGUGCUUAUUUUAACCCGGUUUUGGUUACAAACACCCCCUCCCUCCCUCGCUCGCUCUCUCCCGUCAGGCUCUGGUUACCAGAUCCGCGUUUACUUUCGAAAAAUCUAAGAUCGCCACAUCCGAGGACACAUGUCUUAAGGAGGCGAUGAGCUUUCCGGGUUUUUUUGUAAAAAAUGUUCUUUAUGUAGUUUUCUUUUAAAAGCCAGCGUUUCGGAGCAAGCCCCGGCGCCCCACUUUGGAGAAGUCGGGGUGAAGCCCCCCGGAACACCCUCGCUCUGGCAGAGAAGCUGGCUCUGGCUCGGCCAUCUGCGGGCUCCGCCGCGUCCUCCCUACUUUUCUCCCCCUCUUAAAUGCAGUUAAAAUGGCUGAAUUCCGGCUUUUAAUUAAAAACAGCCUAUAAUCGAAAACGUCUCGGCGUCCCUGGCUCCCCCGCCGCCUGCCGGGAACCGAGAAGGGAACCGACGCCCCUCGGCCCGGCUGGGAGGGCUGGAGCGGGGCUGGGAACUCAGGUGGGCGCCCGGGGCGCAGUGGCCUGCCCCCACCCCUCCCGGGGCGCCCCCAUCUCGCCGGCCCCGGUCCCCGAUUCCGUUCUCGGCGGCCGGGAAACUGCGGGGAUGCCCCGGCGCCCCCGGAGGGGGAGGCGGGAUCGGGGACGAGCUGGAGAAGUUUGGAGACCAUCGCGCCCGGCCAGGGAUGGGAGGGCGGCCCGGCGGCGUACCUGGCGCGGCGGGGCUCCCGGCUCCGGGCUCCGGCGACGGCGACUCCGGUGGCGGCCCCGGCUCCCGGCGCGGUUAGGCGCCCGUGCUGCCCGCCAUCCCGCGGCCGCUGCUCCCCUUCGCCACCCGCAGCCGCCUCACACUUUUUGCCCGCCUUUCCUUUUUUUGGUAGAAAACCGCUCCCCGGGCCGAGCGCUCGGCGCGCCAACUCCUCCGCCCUCCCGCGGCCGGGCUCCCGCAGCCCCCGGAAAAGCCAGCUUUCCUCCCGCCGAGCUCCCCGCUUUUUAAUAAAAUCCAGGUAGCGCCGGUUUAAAGAAUCCCAAAUCUCCAUAUACAGCCCGGGAUUGGAAAAGGUACAUUACACACACCCCCCUUUCAAGUUCCUCUCGCUGGAUCUAAAAAAAAAAAAAAAAAAGCCAGCGGGGGGGGGAGGGGGCGGCUGGGGGAGGGGAGUACUCUCCGGCGAUGAAACACGCAUUGUUCCCGGGCGCCCGCCUCCCCCCGGGCCGGCCCCCGGCCCCCGCCCAUUGGCCGCGCGCGCCGCCAAUCACGCGCAUGUAAACACCUUGGCCCUCAGCCAUUCCUAUAAAACCAAUUACGGACCAAGGGGCUCCAGCAGUUUCCAGGCUCCCCUCGGCGGGGCUGAAUGAUCAAAACUGGUGGUGAGAAUUUUUCCGGGCCGUUUCUAGGCAGCCCUCCCCCUCCACCAACUCGGACCCCCCCCCCCUUCCUCCUUCUCCUCCCUUUUCCUCCCCUCCUCCCCCAGCGUCUGGGCUGAGUGAUCAAAAUAGAGGAAGAUGGUUGUCGCCGCAAUCCAGGGCUUUGCAAGGCGCGGUUUAAUGGGCCGCCUGUCAGCUUCCUGCUCGCAGGAGGAGGUGACAAGCCAAGCGGGCCGGGAAGGGCCUGGGGCCCGGCGGGCUGCACCCCACGCCCGGGCCCCGGCCCCCCACCUCCCCUGGGGCGCGCCUCCUAGAACGCGCGGUGGAGACGCGAAAACAGACAAGGGCUGCUUUUUCCCUUUCUCCCCCCCCCCCCCUUUUAAAACAAAGCAGCGAUUCAUUCCCGCUUCCCGAGCAGCGCGGUUGGGUGGGACGGGCAGGCGAGAAGGCCGUUUUCCUAGUCCCGGCCUGCGGGUCCCUCCCUGAAACGCGGUGUCAGAUGGUUACUGAUUAAUAUUUUGGAGAGGCCGCGGCGGCGGGCAGCGGAUCUGGAGGCUGGAAGCCCAAGAUCAAGGCGCCGGCAGGUUCCACGGCUGCACAGGAAUUAUUCAAGGCUGGUUUCGGUUCUCUUCUGGCGACGACCGCAUCUUCGUACUCAAGGCACAGAUUACGGGUCAGCUCAAUUCGCCAGCGGCCGGAGGCUGCCUCCAAGCACCGAGCAGGACGGGAGGGAUGCUCUGCAAGCCGCGUCCGGCUGGAGGCGGCGGAGGCCUGAACGGGUCAUGGUCCCCGAAGUCACUAGGGACAGGGGACGUGGAUGGAAUAUAAGAGGGGAGAUCGACAGUCAAUCCCACCUCUGUCCCUUUCCGCCUGUGACCCCGGUCAGCUCAGUCUUCUCAUCUGUGACAUGGGCGUUGACACGAGUGUUCAGCAUGGGAACCCACCCCCGUCGUCUUCCACUGGUGCUGUCACCCGCGGCCUGGCUGAGCCGGGCACAGUGGGAGCCUCUGCAGGGCCCAGGGAAGGGGCAUGGCGGUGCCGAAGGACACGAGAAAUGGAAAGAGAGGGUUCAGCCACUCUGGCCUCCCAGGGGCGGCGAUGUGAGAACACGGCCCCAAGAUCCUUUGACGCUCCUCCUGUGGAAAGGUGGGGUUCCCGUUCCCUCCCCUUGAUGCUGGCCUCCAUGGCAGAAGGUGACGGAGUCGACAGUCCUCCCAGAACUGCCAGCUCCUGCUUUUUGCCUCUUGGGUGCUCCCUCUUGGAACCCAGCCGCCAUGCUGCGAGGAAGCCCAGAGGUCCCGAGGACAGGCCCGCGUGGAAGGCCCGGUUGUGCGUGUGUGUGUGUGUGUGUGAGCUCCUCAGAAAAGGGCAUCCAGCCCCAGUAGGUGCCCCAGCAGACGCCACGUGGAGCGGGGGUGAGCUGACCCUGCCAAGAUCGGCCCAAAUUGCAGAUUCACAAGCAAAUAAAUAAUUGUCGUCAUUGUGAGCCAGGAGCAUUGGGGUGGUGUGUUACACGGCAAUAGGUGACUAAAA
rnacentral:lncRNA from 1 species